UGGCAACAAUGAGCUGCAGGAAAAUACUUGCAGAUCUACAAAUGUGGCUUGGAAAGUCCAGAAGUCCCUCUGUCAGUUGGAAGUUAAUUUCAACAGAAUCAGGUGAAUGUGAUUGAUACAUGGACUGGCUUGGAGUGAGGCUC